CCUACGGGUGGCAGCAGUGAGGAAUAUUGGUCAAUGGGCGCGAGUCUGAACCAGCCAAGUCGCGUGAAGGAUGACUGCCCUACGGGUUGUAAACUUCUUUUAUACAGGAAUAAAGUGAGGCACGUGUGCCUUUCUGUAUGUACUUUAUGAAUAAGGAUCGGCUAACUCCGUGCCAGCAGCCGCGGUAAUACGGAGGAUCCGAGCGUUAUCCGGAUUUAUUGGGUUUAAAGGGAGCGUAGAUGGGUUGUUAAGUCAGUUGUGAAAGUUUGCGGCUCAACCGUGAAAUUGCAAUUGAUACUGGCAGUCUAGAGUACAGUUGAGGUAGGCGGAAUGCGUGGUGUAGCGGUGAAAUGCUUAGAUAUCACGAAGAACUCCGAUUGCGAAGGCAGCUUACUAAACUGCCACUGACAUUGAUGCUCGAAAGUGUGGGUAUCAAACAGGAUUAGAUACCCUAGUAGUC
rnacentral:rRNA from 1 species